rnacentral:rRNA from 1 species
CGGCGGACGGGUGAGUAACGCGUGGGUAACCUGCCUCAUACAGGGGGAUAACAGUUGGAAACGGCUGCUAAUACCGCAUAAGCGCACAGUACCGCAUGGUACGGUGUGAAAAACUCCGGUGGUAUGAGAUGGACCCGCGUCUGAUUAGGUAGUUGGUGGGGUAACGGCCUACCAAGCCGACGAUCAGUAGCCGACCUGAGAGGGUGACCGGCCACAUUGGGGCUGAGACACGGCCCAA